GAUUGGGAAACAAGUUUUGAAAACAAGCACAAAGAUGGUGUGUGAAUACCAAUGAGACAGAUUUCCAUAACAAGCGAAACGUCAACAAUAGUCAAUGAUGUAGAAAAUAUUACAAACAUAGAAAUGUGAGACGGUUUGGAUCAAUGUUUCUCGAGACUAAAUUUAAGUCAGGAUUAGUGUUCAGUAUUUUUGGAUUUACCGUUCACCCAUAAUUGGACCUGGAUUGCUGAAACAAAGUCACUUAUAAAUGGACUUUUGAUUGAGUUAAGCCAUUUCAAUUGAUACUUUAUACUGUGUCUUGCUAUGUUGUGAUGUUACACUAUAAUUGUUUCAGAUAAGGGUGAAGGUUGGUACCUAAUAAAACGUUUCAACCCGCUACAUUUGAUUGAACCUUUUUAAUUGUCUCAUUGGCACUCAUAUUACAACUUUUUAUAUCUAUAUGUACAAUGUAAAAGAAUACUAAAAACAAGAAUGUGUCUUUCAUCAGUAUAGUUUUAAGUAAAAUUAAGCGAGUAGUUUUCUUAUUUUGUUAGCUACAUGUACUUAUUUUGUUAGUUUAUUUGUUAUGUUAGUUUAUUGGUUCUUUUUUGUUAUGUGUUUGUCUUGGUGCUUAAAAUAGACGAUAAAGAUAUCGCCUUUAAACUUAGGUUAAGAUAUCAACCGAGUAGUCGAAACGUCCAGUUGAAAUAUUUAAAAUAAAAAAAUACGUCCAGUGGAUAAUAUUUCAAAUAAAAAAUCUCUACAAACGUGGUAUUUAUCCUACACGAGGGAUAGUAUUUUGUAAUCUG
rnacentral:lncRNA from 1 species